GGAUAUAGCUCAGUGGUGGAGUGCUUGCCUAGUAUGUAUGAAGCCCUGGGUUCAAUCCCCAGUUCUA
rnacentral:tRNA from 1 species